UUUAAGUAUAAAUUUUUGUAAUCACAAACUACAUACACGUUUUAUAUGUCAGAAUUUAGCUAUACGCCGGCGAUCAGGAAUCCUACUCGUUCCCAAAUGGAGUGUUUGACCAUCCUAACAGAUUUACCAUAUUAAUUUUUAGUUCCAAGCUAAGUUUUUAAAUAAAAAUGAUUCUUAAAAUAAUUAUUUUUUGAAUUUGCAAUAUCUAUUUAGUAGUAAAAAGGAGUUUAAAUUAGCUUACGCAACACUAUUUUGCCAUGCUCAAUAGCAAUACUGGCAUUAUAUUUGAAAAUAUUCAAUCUGACGGACGGACGGUCAUUUUAAAAGUAAGUUAUUUAAGUUUUGAAUAUAAUUAUUACUUUAUUAUUAUUUUCACAGAUCAAUCCUAUCCCGUUCCUGUUCCGAUCGAUCGACAGAAGGAAAAUGCCUCGCAAAUGUAUAUUAGGGUGUGAAUGCUCGUUACGGCUACACAAAUUUCCUGGGGAGCGAGAAAUGCCCAUAUGGCAGAACCUUAAAAUGUUGUAUAUAUGUACUCAUAUAUAUGUAACUUGAAGUGGUGGAUUGAAAUCAAUGAAACACUCAAUUUAAAAUUUUUGGAUCAUACGUUAUUUUGCAUAUUGGGUGCAUAUAUGUAUAAUAAAUAAUUCAAUACAGUGAAAAAUUCAUAAACGAAUAAAGGUGAACACGUUUUU